UCGUCCGACCUAGCCUCCGUCGUCCCGCAAGCGUCAAACUGGGCCAAGCCCAACGCCACUAUCCUCCGCAUCCACUCCACCCGCUCCAGCCGACCACUAGACGGAUGCCGCCCCAAACUACGACGAGAUCCGGAGGGACGCCGCCCCAGGCGACAACGCGAUCCGGAGGGAAGACCCCUAAACUCCCGAGCCUGGAGUGGGGCUGUGUCGCCGCGUGCUCUCAGAGGGAGUCGUCAUCCACUGCAUCCCGAAGCUGGGCGCCGACGAGCUCCGAUGGUCCAGAUCGACCUCUCCCCAGUCUGCUCGUCGCGGCGGCACAGGUGGAAGAAAUUGGCCGGAGUUAGGUGAGGGAGAGAGGAACCCGAAGAGGGCAGUGGCGGCCUCACAGCCUCCACCACACGGAUCCAUCCUCCCCCGCACGGAUCCGGCCGUCACCAUCUCCCCCUCGGUUGUUCUUCUUCCACAUCACGUCUCGGUGACAUGGAGGCCCGAUGCCCUUCCCAGAUCGCGAGCAAGAGCAGCUGCUGGGUCGCCCCGGAGUCCUUCUCUCACAGCGCAUGGGCUCCAGUCCUCCCAGCUGCGUGGAGGACAACGAUAGGCCACUCGGAUCGUGCCAACGAAGCUCCGCAGAAGCUGGCCACGACUCCGUGCUAUUCGUGGCCAUGAUCGACAUCGGUGCUCCGUAACGGGGAAAGGAGGGUGCCCGACUCUAGCAAACAUCCUGACCAAGAUUCCGUUGCGUAGGUUCAGACCCUAUUUUGUUCUCACAUAAUCUCUCUUUUGCAGGUGUUGGUUUUUUCAGACUCAAGCAUGACAAUGUCAUACAGUCUUGCUGUGUUGUAAGGUGCACCCAUGUUCUUGCUUACGAGUAUGCGACAAGGCUUUUCUUUUAUGCAUUUUCUCACAUCAAAGAUUGUUUCCAGUGUCCUAUGGAUAUAAGAAUUGAAGCAAAUCUCUGAAGGUUAAUAACUUGCUGUAACUCCUUUCUACACAUCGGCCAAAACUUCUGUACUGGUGAUAAACUAUCAUGAUGGAGCCAAGGUUGUUGUAUGAAAUCUCAAUUGUUAUCGAAUAUCUGCACUAUUGUGAAUCUACGGCCAUAUCUUUCUGGCACCUGAAGCUAGGUGUAUACUGAACUGAGCGCUGCAACUUAAUGGAGCAGUUACACCCAAUUUCUUAUUUAUCAUCAACAUCUUCCUUUUUUUCCAGUGCAUUUGGAUUAUUCCAUCAAUGAGGAAACUCAUGGCAUGAUCGAUCAAGUGGACGCGGGAUUCUAUUUCUUAAAGUACUAAUUAAGAUUCGUGUGCUGGUUAUUUUUAUAGAUGUAUGCAAGUCGUUCUUUCUAAUGGAAAUCACUGCGCUUAAUGUCUUUGAUGCAAGUUGAUGGGAUGUAUUUUCAAAGAAGUGAAGCAGGCCUAUAAAUUUGCCGAAGAACAUCUUGAAAAUGGACCAACUGUAAGUACUAAGAAAACUUGGACAAUUUCUAUCAUGUAGAUUCUCUGCAUGUAUGUCCUUUUGGGGAUUGAUCAGGGAUGUGUUGGGUUGGAAUAUGCUGCUGGUUGUUUUAUUAUUCCUGAUUCGUCUGUUGGAUUCAUCAAGUUUGUUUGCCAUAUGCCUUCUUCGAUUUGUUAUUUAGCGCUGAAUGUAUUUUACAAUGGUUCCUUUUUGGAACUACAUGUUAAUUUAACUAUAGCGUUUUUCGAUUUGUUAUUGUUCCUUGGUCUGUAAGCACAGAAAUUAUAACUAAGCUUCUAUAGUGUUGGUUGUCAAACAUAUGUUUAUUAUUUUAGAUUGACAGACUAACAGCAUUAAAAUAGACGUACAUAUGCUCCUUUAACAUAUGUUCUUGCUUCUAUGCUUUGAUGAAAGGGCGGUCGAACCAUUCUUCUGUCGCUGACCAUCCAGACUCAUUUCAUAAGCAUUAUAUGGGUUGGCAUUAUCAUCGUUCGCACUAGAACCUUUCUUCUUGGAUUGCGAUUUUGAUUAUGAGCCUGCAGAUGAGAAUACAAUUCUGAUGACGGAGCUCAAUAGUGAAGAAAGGAAAGCAAUAUUUUUUUACAAAGAAUUAUGAACUAUGGAAACUGGCCAGUAUUAAUUUUUGUUGUUCAUUGAUGUUCGCUUGUGCUCCUUGUUCUUUUCCUUUAGCGGUGGUUGUGGAAGAUUACUCCUCGCAGACCCGCAUGAUGGAUGCUAUGCAUGGGUGCAUCGCUAGAAAUGAAGAGCACGUGAAGGACACCCAAGACAACUGUGCACAAAAAUAUGCAACUUAACAAUUGAAAUGGUCCGUCUGCUAUUUUAUAUGUUGUAUGUAUUAUGAAAAUAGUAUCUAUAUAGAGGACAAAAAUAUUAUAAGGCAUAUAGUCACCUUGGAUAUAUGUUGUGGCUUUCUGGUAAAUACAAAUGGUCUCUCCCUGGCUUUUCUGUGCUGAUGCUUCCUGCAAAAACUAAGUCAAGUCCCCCUGUGCUUAUAUGGAUACAAUUCUAGCAGUGUUGCAAAAUCAAAGUGCGAGCAUGGAAAGCGGAUAAAAGAUGG